GUUGAAGCCCUUUCCUCUGAUUUAUGUUUCCCUCUCCAGACAUGAGAUCCAAAUUGAGUCACUGGGGUCUACCAGAGACAUGAUUCCUCCAAAUUGAGUCACUGGGGACAGAGGCUGGUGUGCAACCCUUAUGGAUGCCAAAUUCUUGAACUACAAAAGGAGACAUGAAACGCAGAACCCAAAAGGACUAAGGUGGGGCAUGCCCUAAGAGGAGGUGGAGAAGUUGGAGAUUAAAUAGCUGCUGCUGUUUAAAGUGGUGAGUGCCAUCCAUGCCAUUCUGCUGUGCAGGGUCAUUAGCCUGGGAGAUGUGGACCCCAUUGUCGCUGGCUUUGCUGCCCUAGGAUUCCCCAACUGCUGGGAAGGAGGCAUUGAUGGCACCUACAUCCCAACCCAGACCCCCGAUCACUGGGCCUCCAAUUACACCAAUUGGAAGGGGUACUUUUUAAUGGUCCUGCAGGCCCAUGUGUACCACUGGGGCCGAUUCACCAAUAUCAACAUUGAACUCCGGCCUGUACCAGAAGAUGCACGCCAGCACUUUUUCCCCCCAACUGCACCAUCAGAGUUGGGGAUAUAGACAUGCCCAUGUGCAUCGUGGACAAUGCAAGCUACCCCUUGCUCCCCUGGCUGAUGAAGCCUUACAGGGGACACCUGAACCCCACCAAUGAAUGGUUCAAUGCCAGGCUCAGCAGGUGCUGCAUCAUGGUGGAAGGUACCUUUGAACAUCUCAAAGGGAGUUUCUGGUGUCUCUUCACCCUCACCCUCCUGGACCUUGGUGACUGGAACAUCUUCCAGGUGGUGGCAGCCUGCUGUGUCCUUCACAACCUGAGUGAGAACAAGGGGGAGACAUUCCUGCCAGAGUGGGGGGCAGAGGCCGAAUGGCUCAGGACUUUUUAGCAGCCACACACUGCUGCCAUCUAGCAAGUCCCUCAGGGGCCUGUGCACAUCUAGGCGACCCCAAGGGAGAGUUUCAGACAAGGCCAGCUGUGAAACUCUCCUCUGGACCUCCCCACAAGGAGCCUUUGAAUAGUUCCUGUGUGCCUUUCCUCUCUCACCCUACCCUUCCCCUGACCUAUCUUCUCCGUUCCCCGCUCUCCUGCAGACCAAAUA